ensembl:lncRNA
GGAAACUUUGUUCCGGGUCCACAAUACCUGUGCAGAUCCCGACCGGAUGCGGAGAAUCGAGCUGCCGGCCUUCCCGCGUGCAGAUGAGUUGUCUGCACAGCCUGAGAGUGUGUUGUGGCGCGGCCCCCCAUUGCCGAGUCUGCCCACACAGCACUGGCGAACGGAAAUUCGGACACUCGCUCCUCCCUGUAUCCCCAUGCCGGGAGCGGCCUGGCCCCCAGCCCCUGCUACUUUGCCCAAGAUGAUCCUCCAGACACCACAGUCACCACCACUCCAGCCUUAGGGCGUCAACAUGCCCGAGCCCUGGACACUGUCUUUUCUUCCAUCCCCCGCAUCCGUGUAGCUUCUCCUUGACCUAGGCCGAACUUGGAGAGGUGGAUGCCCCUUUAUUGUCCUGGAGCCCCUGGUUGUUGGCGGACCGUAUACCUGAACUUUCCUUGAUUCUGAUUCCCCACCCAACCACCCACCCAGCUCGCUCAGAUUGGUGAGGGAUUUGCAGAGUACAGAAAAGAGCCCCUCUCCUGAACUAGGGUGUGGAUGAGAGGCGUGUUGCGGGAAGGAAGUGGACGUACGGGACCAGAAAAGGGAGUGGAGGAAGAGAAUGAAACCCCGCGUCCCUGGGAGGCAAGAGUCGAAGGCGGAAAUUCAGAGUCUACGAUUUCCUUAUCUCUUGGAGGUGUGACCAGCAGAGUCUCUUUGCCCAGCUAUAGUCCAAGCAUUUCUCACGAUUGGGACCUCACGGACCUUCGGACCUUAAAGAUAAGUCCCAGGCACUGUGAAGGGCUCAUAUCCUUGAGGAACAAAGCAGAAGUCUCUACCUUCCUGGGGUCAGAGAGAUUGACAACAAACACGUCAACAAAUAAUAAAUCUGCACGGUCCCCAAUGUACUAAAUGGAUUUCCUUUUUCUAAACCAGUGUGUGAAAAAUUUCAGAUGUCAAAGAGAUAGUCAAAAGAUGUUUCCUCAAGUUCAUGAAAGACAAAGAGAUAUAACAACAAUGGAUAAACAACAAGGUCCUGCUGUAUAGCAUGGGAAACUAUAUUCAAUGUCAUAUGAUAAGUCAUAAUGGAAAAGAUACAUAUUCUUUAUAUCUGAAUCAUGUUGCUUUACAGUAGAAAUUAACACAACAUUGUCAAACAACUACACUUAAAUAAAAUGCUUUUUAAAAUGGUGUGACAAAUUUGAAAUUUAAUGUAUGAUCCUAAUGGAUCCUGGAUCAGAAAAAUAAAAUUUAUUAUAAAGGA